rnacentral:rRNA from 1 species
GUCUUUUUGAGUUAUUUUUAAAGUCUGACCUGCCCACUGAAUUUUAAAUGGCCGCAGUAUUCUAACUGUGCAAAGGUAGCAUAAUCAUUAGUCUUUUAAUUGAAGGCUGGUAUGAACGGUUGGACGAGGUAUAAGCUGUUUCAUAUAAAUUUAUAGUAGAAUUUUAUAUUUUAGUUAAAAAGCUAAAAUUUAAUUAAAAGACGAGAAGACCCUAUAAAUCUUUAUAUUUUUUAUAUUUUAAAUUUUUUUGAUUUAGUAUGUUUUUAUUAUAUAAAAUAUUUUGUUGGGGUGAUAUUAAAAUUUAAUAAACUUUUAAUUUUAAAGAAUCAUUAAUUUAUGAUUUAUUGAUCCAUUAGUAGUGAUUAUAAGAUUAAGUUACUUUAGGGAUAACAGCGUAAUUUUUUUGGAGAGUUCAUAUCGAUAAAAAAGUUUGCGACCUCGAUGUUGGAUUAAGAUAUAAUUUUAGGUGUAGCCGCUUAAAUGUUAAGUCUGUUCGACUUUUAAAUUCUU